CAACUGGAAGCCAUUUGUGUCAAGGUGACAUCCGGAGACAGGAAAGGGCAGGAGAAGCCAACCUCCCUGCUGGCCAUCACCCGACCCCAGGCGGCCGGACAGAGCCCGAAGCCUGGGAGCUGGCCUGGCCCAGUGGGGCUCGGGGUACAGCCUGUGGGUCCUCAAGGACCCAUGCCCGCCAAGAGGGUGAAGGCUACCCCUGCCCUGAGCAGCCAGGGCAGCAUGCCGACCCCUGUGACUGCCUCUGACCUGCCUGUGGCAGCACCUGCUGGGUCAGGGUUCAGCACAUCCGUCUCUGUCGCCAGCUGGCUCACGAACAGGGCAGACCGAGAAGCUCAGGAAGUCCUCGAGGGUGAAAACACGUUCUGGACGGAUAUCCCGGCCCCCCAAGUACAAGGCCAGAGAUUACAGAUUCAUCAAGACGGAGGACCUGGCAGACGGGCGGCUGUCGGACUCGGAUGACUACUUGGAGCUGAGCUCGGGGGACGAGGAGGAGCAGCGAGACCCUCGGGCGCUAUUCACCGUGGCCAGCUGUGCUCUACGGCCCCGGGCCUUUCGCUGCCAGGCCUGUGACAAGGCGUACAUUGGGCAGGGCGGGCUGGCCCGGCACUGGAGGCUGAACCCAGGCCACAGUGGGCUGCAGCCCAAGGCGUCACCCGAGAGGGGGCAGCUGGAGGCCGGCACUGGGGGCCCGGCCUUGCCAGAGCUGUGCAUACCGGCUGUGCCCCGCCAGGACGGGGCAGAGGCAGCACAAGGCAGCCCACAGUGUGUAGAAGUUGAAGAGGCGAUGGUGCUGGAGCCAGAAAAUGCCAGUCCUGCUUCGGGGAUUCAACCUGGAGACACCGAGGGCCUGGCAGAGUCCAGCGCAGCCGUCGCCCCGCCGAACGCCUACAGGAGCAGAGCCCAGCUCCAGGAGUUGCUCCUGCAGAGUGGCCCAGAGGACUUGAUGGAGCUGGUGCUGCCCCGGCUGGUACAGGUGGUGACUGUAUAUGAGUUUCUCCUGGUGAAGGCCAAGGACAGCAGCUUGGCGCAGCCCAGCUUCCAGGCUGUGUACAAAACGUUUGAAGAGCUGCACGCCAGGGUGAAGGCCCUGUGUCAGGAGCACCUUAGCCGAGUCGGCACGGCUUCUCUGCAGCCCCUGGAAGUCAGAGACCCUCAGGUUGCCGAGUCCCUAGGAAUCCCAGGAUUUCUGAGGAAGACAGAAGCACGCCCAGACCACACUGUAGCCCAAGGCCACAGUCCAGAGAGGGCCGGGCUGAGGCUUGAGGAAGCCGGUGGCUGGCAGAGGUUGCAUGAGGCUGCACAGCAAGCACCCGCAGCACAGAGGCCCAGGCAAGCAGCUCUGCCCAUUGGUGACCCAGAGCGCCCUGCUGCCCUUGGCGGAGGCCAGGAGACUCCUGGGCUGGGUGUGCCCACUACAGGCAAGGGUUUUGCCCCUCCAGCGAUUGGGGCCGCUCCUGCCCUGCCUGAAGGCAGCCAUGGGGUGACAGUUUCCGGUGGGUUCACGAGUGUGUCACAUGCAGGCUGGCAGCUUACGGCAUCCGCUGACUCUGGAGCCAGGCGUGGGUCUGCAGGCCCUGGUGUCCUGUGUGGGGAGAGCCAUGGAACAGGUGCCCCACUAGGCGAGCCUAAAGAGCAUGUUCCAGAUGCCAAGGCCGCCCAGGGAAGCCUGGGAGCCUACAGCACCCUGUCACCAGCAGGAGAGGCUACAGGUGCAGAGCCAGGGGACCCAGGCGCCAGGCCCAUGGCCCCACUGCCUGAGGAGAUCUCGCCAAUAGACAUUGUGCCAGUGGACUGCACUCGCAGGACUGGCCCAGACAGGUCACCAUUGAGCAUAGGAAGCCAUUCUGGGGACCUGAAGCAGCUCCUCCAUGGGCUGGAGGUACACAUCAGCCUGGGAGACCUGGAAUGUGAGGCUGCUGUUGGGGACUCGGUGGCCUUUGAAAUCAGUAAUGGGUGCCCGGAAGUGCUUUGCCAGGGCCAGGAAAAGAUCCUCGUUCAGACUGCCAGCGGGGUCCUCCUGUCCCACUUGGGGACCACCACAUCACAGGAGAACACUGUCCUGGUGACCGGUGCAGGGGGCCCUGGCCUGCACAUCAGGGCCCCAGAAGGCAUCCCUCUGGUAGCAGGGGGCGAGACCCUCACAGUGCAGACCGAGCCCUCGCCAUGACCGUGUUGGAAGCAUGGUCCCACAUCUGUUCUGCCUGGAGUCCAGUGGGCAAUGGGGUUUUCUCCUGUGAACCCCGGUGAUGAGCCUGGUGUUUUCAUAAAGAGUAACAUCUGCAGUGCCUGUCCAGUUCCUCGGGGUGUCAGUACUGGGGUUCGGACAGAUUCAUCUCCAGACCUUUUUAAACUUUUUGAGACGGGCUCCCUGUGUACCUCAGACUGGCCCCUAGCUGGAACUUGGGGCAAUCCUGCCUCAGCCUCCCAAGUGCUGGACCACCACACCCGGCUUGUAGUCUUUUAUUUUGGAGCCCCAAAAUUCUUCAUUUCUCUGGGAGCGUUUGCUCUUUGGACCCUUAGCUUCAGUGUCACAGAGCUACCUUUGUCCCACAGCCUGAAGUCCCUCAGGUUGCUUUUCCUGAGGAACAGCAGACUCGCGCACAUAGCCUGCGCCAUGCUCCCGUGAUUCGAACAUGGCCUUUGCUCUGUGGGUCUGCUGGGCUGCAUGUCUGUAGAGGACUGGGAUUUGGGUUUGAGACCUUUGUUCCAAGCACAGGGCUGAUAGGAGGAAGUGGGGAGGAAAGAAAACGGACUGAGGCUGCACCUGUGGUGUACCAAAGGAAGUGCCCCUAGGACAGCCCAUCAGCAGCACAGAGCCUGGGGCCUUGCAGGCCUGGCCCUGGCGUUUCCUCAUCUGUAAAAGGGCAGAGCAGGGGCAGAGCCAUUGAGUUCUCCUUAGUUGGUAAAUUAAAUCAAUCUGGAUGAUUGAGGCAUGGUAGUACACACCUAACAUCACCGCUACUCCAGAGGCUGAGGCAGGAGGCUCCCAUGCCCCAGGCCAGCCUGG
ensembl:lincRNA